GACGAACGCUGGCGGCGUGCUUAACACAUGCAAGUCGAGCGGUAAGGCCCUUCGGGGUACACGAGCGGCGAACGGGUGAGUAACACGUGGGUGACCUGCCUUUAGCUCUGGGAUAAGCCUGGGAAACUGGGUCUAAUACCGGAUAUGACCUCAUGACGCAUGUUGUGGGGUGGAAAGCCUUGUGCGGCUAGAGAUGGGCCCGCGGCCUAUCAGCUUGCUGGUGGGGUGAUGGCCUACCAAGGCGACGACGGGUAGCCGGCCUGAGAGGCGACCGGCCACACUGGGACUGAGACACGGCCCAGACUCCUACGGGAGGCAGCAGUGGGGAAUCUUGCGCAAUGGGCGAAAGCCUGACGCAGCGACGCCGCGUGAGGGAUGACGGCCUGGUGUAAC
rnacentral:rRNA from 1 species